AGGCAACAGAGCGGAAGGUGGCUACAGGAUUUGCAAUACCACGACCGGCAAUAUCAGGGGCAGAGCCAUGAACGGGUUCCGACAUAACAAAGUUAUCACCAACAUUAGCAGAAGGAACCAAACCAAGGGAUCCGAUCAAGGAGGCAGCACCAUCUGAAAGAAUGUCACCGUACAAGUUAGGGGCAACGACAACAUCAAAACAUUCAGGUUCGCGGAAAAGACGGUAAACCAUCGAGUCGACAAUCUGCUCGUCAACAUUGAUGGAAGCGUAAGAAGGAUCCAAAGACUGAGCAUGGCGACAGGACUCACGGAAAAGUCCAUCAGUUACAGACAUGACAUUGGAUUUAUGAAUGAUAGUAACCAAAGGCUUCUUGUGAAUAGAAUAAGUACCAGAUUCACGUAUCUUUUGGCGAGACUUGGCAAUUUCAAAAGCCAUCUUUCCAAUUUUAGUGGAGGCUUCUUCGCUAAUACGACGAAUGGCUUCAGCGACACGCUUGCCAGGAGUGUUUUGUACCAUUCUUUCCUCCUUGACGUACAAACAUUCGGUGUUUUCACGAACAAUAACAAGGUCAACGGGUUUACCCUUGGCACCAUCGAGUGAUUUUACAGGGCGAACAUUGGCGUACAAUCCCAUCUUUUUGCGCAAAGCGACAAUUGGUGAAGAAUAUCCAGCGACUUUAUGAGUGGGACUCUGAACAGCUCCGAACAAAGCAGCAUUACACUCAGUUUUAAGUCUUUCUACAGUACGUUCAGGAAGAGCUUUUCCAGUACGUUCAAAGGUACCCCAUCCAGCAUCCAAAUCAAUGAAAUCGAACUUAAGCUUGUGCUUCGCAGGUAAAUUUUCCAUCAAACGACGAGCAGCGGGAACGACUUCCUUUCCAAUUCCAUCAGCAGGAAUGAGACCCAAAACAAUUCUGCGAGUAGCCGACAUGGUAUUCGUUCUACGAUAAGGUAAAAAUACGCCAAUAGACCUUGUUGGUUGGUAACAGUUAGAGAUCAACAAUAUCAUCAGAAGAUCAUUUACCAGUUAACGAAUGUAUUUUAAAAAUUCGUUAUUCUAGUCACCGAUUCUCUAGAGCGCAUUGAGACAAUUUAACGACACAUUCCGUCUCACUAGUUACACUAAGGGUUGGGACUUUUAUUUACACUAUUAUGCUAGGUUUUUUUCUGUAAGCGGAAAGAAACCGGGGGAUUUUUGAUACAUAUACAAGUUGUACGCGUUACAUAGGUGAAAAACAUUACAAAGAAGUAUACAAAAAGAUAAACGAAAAGGAAUUUAAGACCCAUACAAAAUUUUAAUGGAUUAAAGUAAUUUAGAAUUUUCCAAAUUGCUUGGGACCCUCAGUGUGCUUAACGACACGAAGAACGUUGAAGCGGACGGUCUUACUCAAAGGACGGCAUUGACCGACAGUGACAACAUCACCCUCGUUAAUACGGAAAGCAGGAGAGACGUGGGCAGCCAAGUUCUUGUGGCGCUUCUCAUAACGAUUGUACUUGGGAAUGAAAUGCAAGUACUCACGACGGAUAAUGAUGGUACGGUGCAUCUUGGUGGAAACAACGGUACCGGUCAAGAUACGGCCACGGAUAGAGACUUGACCAACGAAAGGGCACUUCUUGUCAACAUACUCACCGUAGAUAGCUUCAGCAGGGGUUUUGAAUCCCAAACCGACAUCCUUAUACCAACGACGGCCAGCGCCCUUCUUGGCGUUUUGGAAGAUAUGAGGUUGCUUUUGGAAUGCACGCUCACUUUGCACGACAAGUUCUGUGGCCAUCUUGUGUUGCUGUAGAAAAGACAGCUCAGUGUAGGAAGUAAACCAAAAGUUUUGAGACGUGACUGUUUCUUUGUAGGGUAGGGUUUUGUCCUCUUUGCCUGGAAUAGUGAGUAACACCGUUGAUUGCUUAAACGAAGAAUUGUAUACUUGAUAAAAGAAUAAUUUCUGACUAAACGAUAUUCGUUAUAAUAAUGAGUGAACUUUACGACUUAAUACACGUAUUGUAUUAUCAAGUAAAACCCCAUUUCUUCAGAGACAAUAUAAUUACAUAAAAUAAUUUGCUUGACACAAUAAAAAG
rnacentral:lncRNA from 1 species